rnacentral:tRNA from 1 species
GCCCGGAUGGCGGAACGGUAGACGCGGCGGCCUCAAAAGCCGCUGUCCGCGAGGGCGUGCGGGUUCGAGUCCCGCUCCGGGCA